rnacentral:rRNA from 1 species
GUCCAGACUCCUACGGGAGGCAGCAGUGGGGAAUAUUGCACAAUGGGGGAAACCCUGAUGCAGCAACGCCGCGUGAGUGAAGAAGUAUUUCGGUAUGUAAAGCUCUAUCAGCAGGGAAGAAAAUGACGGUACCUGAGUAAGAAGCCCCGGCUAACUACGUGCCAGCAGCCGCGGUAAUACGUAGGGGGCAAGCGUUAUCCGGAUUUACUGGGUGUAAAGGGAGCGUAGACGGCGAUGCAAGUCUGAAGUGAAAGCCCAGGGCUCAACCCCGGGACUGCUUUGGAAACUGUAUGGCUGGAGUGCUGGAGAGGCAAGCGGAAUUCCUAGUGUAGCGGUGAAAUGCGUAGAUAUUAGGAAGAACACCAGUGGCGAAGGCGGCUUGCUGGACAGUAACUGACGUUGAGGCUCGAAAGCGUGGGGAGCAAACAGGAUUAGAUACCCUUGUAC